UCAGCCUGCUAAGCCGGGACACAGUGUUCCCGUUCCAGUUCCCAGGGGAGGGGGGCACUGAGUCGCUCGGGUGGUUUACGGUGCUGUUGCCUGCAGAGCGUUCAAGCGAGAACACCCUUCUAUAAAGGAAAUUGCACUUGGCGCUGUGGCUGAUCUUCACGAGGAGGCUGUCUCUCUGUCACCGUUGGACUCCUGCGGUCAAUCAUUAACUGAACAGAGAAGAAAAACACUCAGUAACUCAGCAAACAGCAGCGAGGGACAGAUGAGAGCGGAGGGGAAAACUGACUGAGAAAAACACAGCCAGCAAAACAAGCACA